CGGUAAUUUGACCGUGCAAAGGUAGCAUAAUCAUUAGUUCUUUAAUUGAGAACUGGUAUGAAUGGUCGGACAAGAGAGAGACUGUCUCUAAUAUUGAAAUUGAAAUUGACUUUUAAGUGAAAAGGCUUAAAUAUAUUAAGGGGACGAUAAGACCCUAUAAAGCUUUAUACAUUAGAUUAAGUUAAUUUAAUUGAAUAAUAAAAAUUUACUUAGUUAAAUGUAUUAGGUUGGGGCGACUAAGGUAUAAUUUUUGGUAACUGAUUAUUAACAAAUCAAUAAUGGUUGAUUAACGUAUAAUUGAUCCUUUCUAAAGAUUAAAGAUUAAGUUACUUUAGGGAUAACAGCGUAAUUUUUUCUGAGAGUUCAUAUCGAAGAAAAAGUUUGCGACCUCGAUGUUGAAUUAAAAUGUCUUUAUAAUGCAGCAG
rnacentral:rRNA from 1 species